ACUCAACUCUAUGGCGGCGGCCUACACAUGCAGCUCGAGCGGAAAGAGUGGAGCUUGCUCAUGUUCUUCAGCGGCGGAAGGGUGAGUAAUGCCUAGGAAUCUGCCUGGUAGUGGGGGACAAUUUUUCCAAAGGAACGCUAAUACCGCAUACGUCCUACGGGAGAAAGUGGGGGAUCUUUCGGACCUCACGCUAUCAGAUGACCUAGUCGGAUUACUAGUUGGCGAGGUAAAGGCUCCCAGGCACAUCCUAACUGGUCUGAAGGAUGAUCAUCCCUGGAACUGAACACGGUCCAACUCCUACGGAGGACAGGGGAAUAUUGGACUGGCACCUGAUCCA
rnacentral:rRNA from 1 species